CCCGCGGGCGCGCGGGCUCGGCGGAACCACAAUGCUCAGGGGUCUCGCGUUUCAAGCCCUGCAGCCCGUACGCCGCCCUCCCAUCCUCCUGGAUUACAAGCCCCAGAAAGCCCCGCGUCCCCUCCUGCGCACCCUGGGGAUCAAGGACGGUAACCACAGAGCAUAUUCAAAGAGCUGCUGCAGUUCAAGGUAACAAGGGAGGUCAUCAGAAAAAAGAGCUCACGGGGCUCUGCCUUCAAAGACGCUGAUGCUACUGAGGAGACUUUUCUAGACCUGCUGGGACCGUAGUCUCUCCGACCACCUGGUGGACAUCUGUGGGAACCUGCAUGAUGGAGCACGGGAGGGGCUGCUGCUCCCCUUGAAGGCUACUCUGGCCUUCUCACCUAACCGGCUGACCCUGCAGCAAGACGUGUAUGAUGGCAAGGGGCUGCUCUGCACCGGCCCGGGGUUGUUGAUCCUCCCGGCGCCCUCUGCCAAGGAGAAACACCACACCAAAGACGACGGGUCGCCGCCAUGUUCGGUGCGCGCCCGGGUCACUGAGGGAUGAGCGCGGAAAGUGCUGCCGAGGGUCUUCUGAUACCCGCCGCACUCACGUGGUGUCCCCUGGGAAAGGACUUUCCGGUGCCAGGCUAGAGAUCUGCCUGGACUGAAGACUUUCUCACAUUUGUGACACUUAAAGGGCUUCUGUACAGCGUGAA